UUUGUGGGCUCCUGCAAGUGCCAGGCGCUGACCACUCCUCCUGGGAGCCUAACUGAGGGGGGUAGAGGCAGCAGAGGUUAACAGAAAUCUCAGGUCCCUUGGUGGAAGGUGGGUGUGUAGUCGUGGUACUUUACGCCUCGGUGUUUAGGGAGGAGCCUAAGGUAAGGAGUCAGAAACGGGGAGUAACCGAGCUGCGGCUUUUAUAUAAGGUCAGUGGUAGGUAAGGAAGGGGCCUUAACCUCUGCUGGUGACCAGAAGCCUGCAUUUCUGCAUUCUGCUUAAUUCCCUUUCCUUAGAAUGACCAUGGUUGACACAGAGAUGCCAUUCUGGCCCACCAACUUUGGGAUCAGCUCCGUGGAUCUCUCCGUAAUGGAAGACCACUCCCACUCCUUUGAUAUCAAGCCCUUCACUACUGUUGACUUCUCC
rnacentral:lncRNA from 1 species